ACAGUGGACGCGAGCAUCUGUGGCCAAGUUUUUAAGGGCGCACGGUGGAUGCCUUGGCACCAGGAACCGAUGAAGGACGUGGGAGGCCACGAUAGUCCCCGGGGAGUCGUCAACCAGGCUUUGAUCCGGGGGUUUCCGAAUGGGGAAACCCGGCAGUCGUCAUGGGCUGUCACCCAUACCUGAACACAUAGGGUAUGUGGAGGGAACGCGGGGAAGUGAAACAUCUCAGUACCCGCAGGAAGAGAAAACAACCGUGAUUCCGGGAGUAGUGGCGAGCGAAACCGGAUGAGGCCAAACCGUAUGCGUGUGAGACCCGGCAGGGGUUGCGUAUACGGGGUUGUGGGAUCUCUCUUCCACGGUCUGCCGGCCGUGGGACGAGUCAGAAACCGUAUGGAUAGGCGAAGGACAUGCGAAAGGUCCGGCGUAGAGGGUAAGACCCCCGUAGUCGAAAUCUGUACGGCUCGUUUGAGAGACACCCAAGUAGCACGGGGCCCGAGAAAUCCCGUGUGAAUCUGGCGGGACCACCCGCUAAGCCUAAAUAUUCCCUGGUGACCGAUAGCGGAUAGUACCGUGAGGGAAUGGUGAAAAGUACCGCGGGAGCGGAGUGAAAUAGUACCUGAAACCGUGUGCCUACAAGCCGUGGGAGCGUCGGAUGGAAGCUUGCUUCCAUCUCGUGACUGCGUGCCUUUUGAAGAAUGAGCCUGCGAGUUUGCGGUGUGUUGCGAGGUUAACCCGUGUGGGGAAGCCGUAGCGAAAGCGAGUCCGAAUAGGGCGAUAUAGUAGCGCGCUCAAGACCCGAAGCGGAGUGAUCUAGCCAUGGGCAGGUUGAAGCGGAGGUAAGACUUCGUGGAGGACCGAACCCACCAGGGUUGAAAACCUGGGGGAUGACCUGUGGUUAGGGGUGAAAGGCCAAUCAAACUCCGUGAUAGCUGGUUCUCCCCGAAAUGCAUUUAGGUGCAGCGUCGUGUGUUUCUUGCCGGAGGUAGAGCACUGGAUAGGCGAUGGGCCCUACCGGGUUACUGACCUUAGCCAAACUCCGAAUGCCGGUAAGUGAGAGCACGGCAGUGAGACUGUGGGGGAUAAGCUCCAUGGUCGAGAGGGAAACAGCCCAGAGCAUCGACUAAGGCCCCUAAGCGUACGCUAAGUGGGAAAGGAUGUGGAGUCGCACAGACAACCAGGAGGUUGGCUUAGAAGCAGCCACCCUUGAAAGAGUGCGUAAUAGCUCACUGGUCUAGUGAUUCCGCGCCGACAAUGUAGCGGGGCUCAAGCGUACCGCCGAAGUCGUGUCAUUGCAGCAAUACUCCCAACGGAGGCUGUGAUGGGUAGGGGAGCGUCGUGUGCCGGGUGAAGCAGCCGCGGAAGCGAGUUGUGGACGGUUCACGAGUGAGAAUGCAGGCAUGAGUAGCGAUUCACACGUGAGAAACGUGUGCGCCGAUUGACUAAGGGUUCCUGGGUCAAGCUGAUCUGCCCAGGGUAAGUCGGGACCUAAGGCGAGGCCGACAGGCGUAGUCGAUGGAUAACCGGUUGAUAUUCCGGUACCCGCUGUGAAGCGUCAAACAUCGA
rnacentral:rRNA from 1 species